GACUUCGGGGAACGAUACGGCGUCGAGCGGCGGACGGGUGAGUAAUGCCUAGGAAAUUGCCCUGAUGUGGGGGAUAACCAUUGGAAACGAUGGCUAAUACCGCAUAAUGCCUACGGGCCAAAGAGGGGGACCUUCGGGCCUCUCGCGUCAGGAUAUGCCUAGGUGGGAUUAGCUAGUUGGUGAGGUAAGGGCUCACCAAGGCGACGAUCCCUAGCUGGUCUGAGAGGAUGAUCAGCCACACUGGAACUGAGACACGGUCCAGACUCCUACGGGAGGCAGCAGUGGGGAAUAUUGCACAAUGGGCGCAAGCCUGAUGCAGCCAUGCCGCGUGUGUGAAGAAGGCCUUCGGGUUGUAAAGCACUUUCAGUCGUGAGGAAGGUAGUGUAGUUAAUAGCUGCAUUAUUUGACGUUAGCGACAGAAGAAGCACCGGCUAACUCCGUGCCAGCAGCCGCGGUAAUACGGAGGGUGCGAGCGUUAAUCGGAAUUACUGGGCGUAAAGCGCAUGCAGGUGGUUUGUUAAGUCAGAUGUGAAAGCCCGGGGCUCAACCUCGGAAUUGCAUUUGAAACUGGCAGACUAGAGUACUGUAGAGGGGGGUAGAAUUUCAGGUGUAGCGGUGAAAUGCGUAGAGAUCUGAAGGAAUACCGGUGGCGAAGGCGGCCCCCUGGACAGAUACUGACACUCAGAUGCGAAAGCGUGGGGAGCAAACAGGAUUAGAUACCCUGGUAGUCCACGCCGUAAACGAUGUCUACUUGGAGGUUGUGGCCUUGAGCCGUGGCUUUCGGAGCUAACGCGUUAAGUAGACCGCCUGGGGAGUACGGUCGCAAGAUUAAAACUCAAAUGAAUUGACGGGGGCCCGCACAAGCGGUGGAGCAUGUGGUUUAAUUCGAUGCAACGCGAAGAACCUUACCUACUCUUGACAUCCA
rnacentral:rRNA from 1 species